AUACUAGGAUCUGUAACAGUGACAUGUGAAGCUAUAUCAAGAGUAACAACGACUCCACUCUGGUCUAUGGACCCCUGCAGGAACUUCCAGUGCCAGAACGGAGGUUUCUGUAUCGCACCUGCGGACUGGCCGUACUGCUCCUGCCCACCUGGAUACACGGGCCGCUUCUGUGAGGUCAGCCUGAUUAAGCCUGGGUCU